rnacentral:misc_RNA from 1 species
GAUGAAGAACGCAGCGAAAUGCGAUACUUGGUGUGAAUUGCAGAAUCCCGUGAACCAUCGAGUCUUUGAACGCAAGUUGCGCCCGAAGCCAUCAGGUUGAGGGCACGUCUGCCUGGGCGUCACAUAUCGUUGCUCGAUGCCUAUCGCAUUGCGAUAGGACUUAGGGCGAAUGAUGGCUUCCCGUGAGCGUUGUUGCCUCGCGGUUGGUUGAAAAUCGAGUCCUUGGUAGGGUGUGACAUGAUAGAUUGUGGUCGAGUUAGCACGAGACCGCUCAUGUGCAUGCUCCCCAAAAUAUGGCCUCUGUGACCCACACGCGUCUUUUGACGCUCAUGACGAGACCUCAGGUCAGGCGGGGCUACCCGCUGAAUUUAAGCAUAUCAAUAAGCGGAGGA